AUUGAACGCUGGCGGCAGGCCUAACACAUGCAAGUCGAGCGGAUGAAGGGAGCUUGCUCCUGGAUUCAGCGGCGGACGGGUGAGUAAUGCCUAGGAAUCUGCCUGGUAGUGGUGGAUAACGUCCUGAAACGGGCGCUAAUACCGCAUACGUCCUGCGGGAGAAAGUGGGGGAUCUUCGGACCUUACGCUAUCAGAUGAGCCUAGGUCGGAUUAGCUAGUUGGUUGGGUAAAGGCCUACUAAGCCGACGAUCCGUAACUGGUCUGAGAGGAUGAUCAGCCACACUGGAAGGGGGACACGGACAAGACUCCUAAGGGAGGCAGCAGUGGGGAAUAUUGGACAGUGGGCGGAAGCAUGAUACAGCCAUGCCGAGUGUGUGAAGAAGGUCUUCGGAUUGUAAAGCAGUUUAAGUUGGGAGGAAGGGCAGUAAGUUAAUACCUUGCUGUUUUGACGGUACCAACAGAAUAAGCACCGGCUAACUUCGUG
rnacentral:rRNA from 1 species